rnacentral:rRNA from 1 species
UACGAAGGGUGCAAGCGUUAAUCGGAAUUACUGGGCGUAAAGGGUGCGUAGGCGGUUGUUUAAGUCUGUCGUGAAAUCCCCGGGCUCAACCUGGGAAUGGCGAUGGAUACUGGGCAGCUAGAGUGUGUCAGAGGAUGGUGGAAUUCCCGGUGUAGCGGUGGAAUGCGUAGAGAUCCGGAGGAACACCGACGGCGUAGGCAGCGCCCUAGACGAGACCUGACGCUCAGGCACGAAAGCGCGGGGAGCGAACAGG